GCAGCCGCCGCGGUAAUACGGAGGUGGCGAGCGUUGUCCGAAGUUACUGGGCGUAAAGCGCGCGUAGGCGGGGAACCAAGUCCGCUGUGAAAGCCUGAGGCUCAACCUCAGCGGGUCGGUGGAUACUGGUUCUCUUGAAGGUGCUAGGGGGAGAUGGAAUUACAGGUGUAGCGGUGAAAUGCGUAGAUAUCUGUAGGAACACCAGUGGCGAAGGCGGUCUCCUGGGGCAUUCUUGACGCUGAGGCGCGAAAGCUGGGGGAGCGAACGGGAUUAGAUACCCCGGUAGUCCCAGCCCUAAACGAUGGAUACUAGGUGUCGGGGGUAUCGACCCCUCCGGUGCCGUCGCUAACGCAGUAAGUAUCCCGCCUGGGGAGUACGGCCGCAAGGUUGAAACUCAAAGGAAUUGACGGGGGCCCGCACAAGG
rnacentral:rRNA from 1 species